rnacentral:tRNA from 1 species
UCCCUGGUAGCUCAGAGGGUAAAGCAUCUGCCUGCAGUGCGGGAGACCUGAGUUCGAUUCCUGGUUCGGGAA